GACGAACGCUGGCGGCGUGCUUAACACAUGCAAGUCGAACGGAAAGGCCCUGCUUUUGUGGGGUGCUCGAGUGGCGAACGGGUGAGUAACACGUGAGUAACCUGCCCUUGACUUUGGGAUAACUUCAGGAAACUGGGGCUAAUACCGGAUCGGAGCCCCUGCUGCAUGGUGGGGGUUGGAAAGUUUCGGCGGUUGGGGAUGGACUCGCGGCUUAUCAGCUUGUUGGUGGGGGAGUGGCUUACCAAGGCUUUGACGGGUAGCCGGCCUGAGAGGGUGACCGGCCACAUUGGGACUGCGAUACGGCCCAGACUCCUACGGGAGGCAGCAGUGGGGAAUAUUGCACAAUGGUCGGAAGCCUGAUGCAGCAACGCUGCGUUCGUGAUGACGGCCUUCGGGUUGUAAACCGCUUUCGCCUGUGACGAAGCGUGAGUGACGGUAAUGGGUAAAGAAGCACCGGCUAACUACGUG
rnacentral:rRNA from 1 species